rnacentral:lncRNA from 1 species
AGGACUUUUGAUAACAGUUUCAAGAUUGUCAGCAUUUUGCAUUGGACUUGAGCUGAGGUGCUUUUAAAAUCCUAACGACUAGCAUUGGCAGCUGACCCAGGUCUACACAGAAGUGCAUUCAGUGAACUAGGAAGACAGGAGCGGCAGACAGGAGUCCCGAAGCCAGUUUGGUGAAGCUAGGAAGGACUGAGGAGCCAGCAGCAGCAGUGCAUGGUGAAGAUAGCCCAGGAAAGAGUGCGGUUCGGUGGAGGAAGCUAGGAAGAAGGAGCCAUACGGAUGUGGUGGUGAAGCUGGGAAAGGGUUCCAGGAUGGUGGAGCGAGAGCGAGUUGGUGAUGAAGCUAGCUGGCGGCUUGGCUUGUCAACUGCGCGGAGGAGGCGAGCAGGCAUUGUGGAGAGGAUAGAUAGCGGCUCCUAGACCAGCAUGCCAGUGUGCAAGAAAGGCUGCAGGGAGAGCAUGCGGUGCGGUAACAUUCCUUGAGGUCGGCAACAUGGUGGUGGUUUUCUGUAACUUGGAUGGUAACUUGUUUACUUUGUCUUAAUAGUUAUGGGGGAGUUGUAGGCUUCUGUGUAAAGAGAUAUAUCUGGGGCUGUAUGUAGGCCUUUGCGGGUGUUGUAGGUUUUUCUUUUUCAGGGUUAUGUCCUCUUGCAUCUUGUCAGAAGCUUUUGAGGGCUGACUGCCAAGGCCCAGAAAGAAGAAUGGUAGAUGGCAAGUUGUCUUUAACCGCUCAGAGGGGAAUGAAUGGUAGAGCCAGCACAACCUCCCAGUUUUGUAAGACGUUGUAGUUUGAACAGAUGACAGAAAGUCAGGGGUCUAAUUUGACCAUGGCUAAACAUCUAGGCAUAUCGGUUUCAAGCGGUGUGGUGCAAGCAUGGUCGGUCACUGAAAAAAGAAAACCCACUUAGGUUUCACAGGCUUGAAGAGCUG